ensembl:lincRNA
GUUCAGUUAUGCUUGUGAAUGAAUGAAUAAAGGACUGAAGGGAGUUGUGGGGACAAGAAGUACUGGGAACUAACAUUUAUUUAUGAUCACUGUCAUUGUGCCAGGCAUGGAGCAGAGCUAACCUAUAUUAUCUCAUUUGAUUUUAUAAGACUAAUAAGAAUUUUAUGUUCUUCAUUUUACAGAAGGAAAAAUUAAACCAGAGGAACUAUCUUGUCAUUCAGCCAUCAGACAUAGAGCCUGGCUUCAAACUCAACUCUCAUUCCAAAACGUGUGUUGAUUUCAAGACAACAUGUCACAAUAGUAAAAAACUUUCUUGUCUCCUAACUUCAUCUGGAAUAAAUGCAGAUCUGCUCAGCUUGUUUGAAGAAAGCGUUAUGACCCUGAAUCCUGAGAAGUCUUUAUUUUAUAACAUAACUUUAAAAAUGAAAGCUUCACAUGUGAGAUAAAUGCACUCAGAGACUCCUCACAAGUAGCUCUUUGGAGCUUCAGAUGUGAAAUGGAUCAUUCCUCAAUCUGUAAUAGACCCUUCUGUGAAGCUCUUCAAUCAAACCUGAGAAUUCAAGGGGAAAUUGAGGGGAGGAUGAGAAACCCCUACAGGGGGAUUUGAGUGAAGUAGUUGAGAGAAAACCUGGAGUAUUUGCUGCAUCUUUUUUUCAGUUCUUUUCUUGAGCAUGUAGGAAGACUGUCAAUCACUGUGCAACCUUACCUGCUAUAUGUGCGUCGUACCUGGGUAUAGCGAGAAGCUAUGGAGGACUCCCGCUACGCAGGCACCUGUGAUUCUUUUCCACUAGUCGUUUUUCCUGACAGCCUUCAGGUUAUUUUUAAAGUGGCUAUUUUAAUAUAGAUUUAUUAUUUUAUUAUUAGAUGUUCUCUUUCCAUGAGAUUAUUUAUAUUAUUAGUUGAUAGGAUAAAUUUUUUUUUAAUCUUUUGAGAAAAGCAUAAACAAUCUUUUAAGAAAGUUAGUGAAGAAUGAUAACUAGUUGGAAGAAUUGUCAUAUUUUGUUAAGUGAUGAUCCUGGUACGUACAUCUUAUUUAGAACUCAUGUUUGUAGAUCAUGUAAUGACUUUUAAUUAGUUUGUUUUCAGUAAAGCAAGAAGACAGAUUUACCCCUACUAAGGGAAACAGCAUUGCUCUGAAAUUAGUUUUUAUGUCACAAUUUUUAUUCAUUUGGGGGCACAUUUUCAAUUGGAUAUUUCUAGGUUAAUGAAAAGAAACUCUAGAUUUUUCAGUGGGCUAUUUAGUUUGGGGGAACAGUUAAUCCUGACAUAAUAAAACCUGUGCUUUGGAAUUUAUGCUCAAAUAUAGAAUAUGUUUAAUAAUAGUUUUUGGUGCUGAAGCUGCUGUGAAAUGAUUGCUAUCCCCUAUCUGUGUCAUAAUUUCUCAAAGCCAUGGAGAUGGUGUUGUUUGUAAAGCUUGAAUAUUAGUGUAAUCUUAAGAGCAUAUUAAUUGCCCGGGAGGCUUACAUAUUUGUUCUUCGCAUGUGAUUAAAGAUCACGGCAGCUUAUACAGCAUAAUUUUAGAGAUGGAGAAAAUGGCUAUUGUAAUACUUGCUACUCUCAGUUUCCUCUACAGCAAUGCCCUUACACCUUUCUUUUUCAGGCGUUUUGUAGCAUCCUAAACAGAAGGAUAUUGAAGGGAGCUGAUUCUGCUUUGAUCCUUGUGCUUGUUGUCAAAGCGCUUGGGAUUGAAGAGACUGUUGGCUACAAUUGACUGUGACAAUUAGGAGAUGAUCAGAGCCCUAGAGUGGAGCACUUAAAGGGUAAUUUACAUGUCAGUUUGUCGAAUAAAAAAAAAGAAGAUAUUCAGCUAAGAUUUUUUUCCCCUCAGAGCCUUGUAAACUGCAAUUUGUGCUCUGGUAAGAAAAACCUGG